rnacentral:rRNA from 1 species
UACGUAGGCAGCGAGCGUUGUUCGAAUUUACUGGGCGUAAAGCGUGCGUAGGCGGUGCCAUAAGUCUGUUGUGAAAUCUCCCGGCUUAACUGGGAGGGUGCGGUGGAAACUGUGGUGCUGGAGUGUGGGAGAGGUAGGCGGAAUUCCUGGUGUAGCGGUGAAAUGCGUAGAUAUCAGGAGGAACACCUGUGGUGUAGACGGCUUACUGGACCAUGACUGACGCUGAGGCACGAAAGCGUGGGGAGCAAACAGG